rnacentral:rRNA from 1 species
GACAGAGGCCUCAAGCGUUUAGGCGGAAUCACUGGGCUUAAAGCGUGUGUAGGCGGGUCGUUAAGUACCUUGUGAAAUCCCACGGCUCACCCGUGGAACGGCUGGGUAUACUGGCGAUCUUGGGCCAACUAGGGGCGACGUGGAACAAGCGGUGGAGCGGUGAAAUGCGUAGAUAUCGCUUGGAACGCCGAAGGUGAAAAACAGGUCGCUGGGGGUUGUGCCGACG